UACGUAGGGGGCAAGCGUUGUCCGGAUUUAUUGGGCGUAAAGGGUAGGUAGGUGGUCUCAUUUGUCUGGGGUGAAAGCCCUGAGCUUAACUCAAGAAGUGCCCCAGAAACGGUGAGACUAGAGUCCUGGAGAGGGUCGUGGAAUUCCCGGUGUAGCGGUGAAAUGCGUAGAGAUCGGGAGGAACACCAGCGGCGAAGGCGGCGACCUGGACAGGUACUGACACUCAACUACGAAAGCGUGGGGAGCAAACAGG
rnacentral:rRNA from 1 species